AAGAGGGAGGGGAAAUGGAUCAAACUCAAAUUGGACAAAGGAGGACUUUUACCAAGUUAAGAUCAUUCAUUCAUUUUGGGAGAUGGAAUGUACAUUCCAUCAAUCCCCUAAAUCCAAUGAUCUUAAUCUAACAAAGUCAAAUCAACCUUGACCAAGGCCCAACAACACAAGUCAAACUCACAAAGGCAAUUAGAAUGGCUCAAC
rnacentral:lncRNA from 1 species